UACGUAGGGGGCAAGCGUUGUCCGGAAUUAUUGGGCGUAAAGCGCGCGUAGGCGGCUUGGCAAGUCGGAUGUGAAAUCCCUCGGCUCAACCAAGGAAGUGCAUCCGAAACUGCUGAGCUUGAGUACUUAAGAGGAUCGCGGAAUUCCCGGUGUAGAGGUGAAAUUCGUAGAUAUUGGGAGGAACACCAGUGGCGAAGGCGGCGAUCUGGGAAGAUACUGACGCUGAGGUGCGAAAGCGUGGGGAGCAAACAGG
rnacentral:rRNA from 1 species